GCGAUCGGGCAACCGCGGAGGCGCUUGCGUGGCUGGCAACGCAAAGGCUUCCUUUCCUUCAUCCGGCUUCCAGAGUUGUGCGGCCUACUGGCGCCGGUCUGACUGGGAUUUCCCAUUGGUUUAUUGAGGUGCCACCCGGUGCUGGGGACCGCGAGUAUAGCUGCAGGCUGGCGGGCCCGAGAGGAAAGGCCGACCUCUGCUCUGUGGUUGAAUGCUUAGUUCUGAGACUGCUGAUUGCGGAGACCUGAAAAGCUUGUUGAGCAGGAAAAGCAAAGACUAAGACCAGUCCUGUGACUGUAACCAAACUUACCAGAGUGGUUUCUCGUGCCUUAUGGAAGCUUGUGCAAAGCCUCCCUGACAGGAAGUGACCAAGCUCCUCACCCUCAGGCCUGUUCCCUCAUCACCCAGUUCAGGGGGUUUGUGCCUCAAAGCCUCUAACGAACUUGAAUGUGUUUGGGAAAAGUACAAGAUACAA